rnacentral:rRNA from 1 species
GAUGAACGCUGGCGGCGUGCCUAAUACAUGCAAGUCGAGCGAAUGGAUUAAGAGCUUGCUCUUAUGAAGUUAGCGGCGGACGGGUGAGUAACACGUGGGUAACCUGCCCAUAAGACUGGGAUAACUCCGGGAAACCGGGGCUAAUACCGGAUAAUAUUUUGAACUGCAUGGUUCAAAAUUGAAAGGCGGCUUCGGCUGUCACUUAUGGAUGGACCCGCGUCGCAUUAGCCAGUUGGUGAGGUAACGGCUCACCAAGGCAACGAUGCGUAGCCGACCUGAGAGGGGGAUCGGCCACACUGGGACGGAAACACGGCCCAGACUCCUACGGGAGGCAGCAGUAGGGAAUCUUCCGCAAUGGACGAAAGUCUGACGGAGCAACGCCGCGUGAGUGAUGAAGGCUUUCGGGUCGUAAAACUCUGUUGUUAGGGAAGAACAAGUGCUAGUUGAAUAAGCUGGCACCUUGACGGUACCUAACCAGAAAGCCACGGCUAACUACGUGCCAGCAGCCGCGGUAA